UAUAAUUCUAGAAGAACCAGCUUUUAUUUCUUUUGUUCCUAGGAUGGAGAAACAUUCCAAGCUUAUAUAUUAGUUCAUCAGUAAGGAAUUAGAAGAUUUUUGGGCUUUUUUGUUCCUGCUUGUAUUAGUCCAAUUGGAUACAGAUUAGCCAAGAGCAAACAGGUGAUCAACAUACUUGCUUGAGGACCAGAGGAGGUAAAAACCAAAAGAGAGAGAGAGAUGUUUUUUGGGCUUAUGGAGCAUUGCAGGUAAGAACCAAGAGAGAGAGAGAGAGAAAUAUUUUGUAGUUUAGCAUAAAAUAUUUUUUAGGUGAUGUAAUAAUGUAUUGGGCAAGUUUCUUGUUGCUCUUAUGGAAGUUACUGUAGGUUUGCCUCUUUUAUUUUUUUAUUUUUUGUCAAAGCUGAAAUUUUUUGCUCCUAUGCAUUGUAAGUAUUUUUCUAUUGAGCUAUUUUGUUAUCACGAUACUAUUUUUGUUUCUCUGCUCGCUUUAGCUCUUUUUGAGUUGGUGUCACCUUCACAAGUUUAAUCAAAGAAGAAUCUUACUACAGAUCUAGAUGGAAAGAGAAACAUAGAAGGUGAAAUAUGUUAAGUUAUCAUCUAUACUCCUUAGAUAGUCAUAGUUACUUCUCUUUGGAUCUUAGUUAUAGAAUAAGAAUUAUUUUAAGAGAACCACACUGAGUUUGAAUUGACACAUAUCCUUGUAAAGAACUUUUUAUGCAGUUUGUUAUGGAUUCUCUUGAAACCGAGUCUGCAGAUGGUAUUGAAAGUUCAAGAUAGGUGAUAUUUCCUGUGAUAAUGUUGACCCCCUAAAGGAGAUAUAUUGUUUAUGUAAAAAGAUAAAGAAAUGAACUUUAAUACCUUGUCAGCUAAAAAAAGGUUUUUACAAUUCCCCUUGUUGAUAAAAGUAAUGUGAUACUCUUUAGUCUUUUAGCUGAAGCUGCCUUUGACAAAUAAUUCUAUUCUAUUUGGCAAAACAUAUGCUUGGCAAUUAGGUGAUUUGAAAUUUAAUGUGAACAGAAAUCUAAGUUCAG